AUGGCGGUGCGUGAACGCGCAGCGGCAGCAAUGGCCGCUCUGGAGCGGCGGGUGCCGAGUCUCGAUGACUUCGCGGGACAGAGCUGGAGCUCCUGGGUGGAACGGGCCGACCUGGCCGCCGCCGACGGGUCUGAGCUGGAGGAGUGCCACAAGAACGGGAAGAAGAAGUUGGACGCCAUGACCCUCAUUAAGGAAGACAUGUCCAUCUUUGGCCACUGCCCUGCCCACGAUGAGUUCUACCUUGUUGUGUGUAACCACUGCAGCCAGGUGGUGAAGCCUCAGGCGUUCCAGAAGCACUGCGAGAGAAGACACGGGCCUCUCAGCAAGCUGUACGCGCGGGCCCAGGCCUCGGCGGGCUCCCAGAAGUGCCACACGGUCAAUGGACAGGGCCCAGCCUGUGGGAGCCAAACUCAAGGCUCAUCCAGCAAAUCCUCCCGGGAGAAAGCCCAGGGGUCCCGGAGCCGGGCCCACCCUGCUCCUGAGAAGGCCCAGAAGGACAACCUCUGCCUCUACGUGCCCGUGGUGAACCUGGAGAAGAUCUCUAGCCUCUCCAAACCCUCGGCUGCCCCCUCUGUCUUCUUGGGCCAACCGGGCACUCCCUCCAAGGACCCCCCGGGGAAAGCCCCCGUAGCUCCCUUCUCCUCCAAGGAGCCCUCGGGGAAGGGCGGCAGCCCACCGGGUGCUGGCGAAGGUCCCAGCCCCAGGGCGGAGAGCAGCCCGGCAGAGAAGGAGUCUGGUGGCACCAGGCUGCCCCCCAAGGCCCACAAGAAGAUGGCACGCAAGGAGUGUGAUCUGAACCGGCAGUGUGGAGUGCUGAACCCGGAAACCAAAAAGAUCUGCACCCGACUGCUGACCUGCAAGAUUCACUCGGUGCACCAGCGGCGCGAGGUCCAGGGCCGAGCCAAGGACUUCGACGUGUUGGUGGCCGAGCUGAAGGCCAGUUCCCGUAAGGGGGAGUCCCCCAAGGAGAAGAGCCCCCCGGCCAAGGAGCUGGGCCCCGAGCGGCUGCCCCAGGAGCCUCUGCCCACGGCCCAGCCUGCCGGGCCACCCGUGGGCACCUUCCCCAGCCGGGUCAAGCAGCUGCAUCCCUCCUGUGGCCUGCCCAGGUCCCGCCUCUCCUCCGAGAGUGAGCUAGAUGAUGCGGGCCCUUGUAGUGGUGACAGGGACCCGGGGCUCUUCCCCUUCCCCCUGCCCAGGGCCGGAGGCCCCGUCUCCAGUGAUGAGAGUGAGGAGGAGGCGGUCCCCGAGGACCCCCACCGCCCCCCGGACUGUCAUUAUGCAACCCGACCCCCAAGGCCGCAGGCGUAUUGCACCUUCGGGAGCCGGCUGGUCAGCCCGGGCUGCUACGUGUUCAACCGCCGGCUGGAUCGGUUCUGCUCGGCGCUCAGCUCCAUGCUGGAGCGGCACCUCAGCUCGCACAUGUGGAAGAAGAUCCCGCCAGCUGCCGAGCCCCCCGCCCACCCUGCCGAUUCACCCCUGGCCGUCCCUUUGAACGCCUCCCCCGGGGGCGGCUGUCCCCGCUCCGCCGGCUCGGCCCACCGGCCGUCCUGCCCGCCCCCGGCCAAGGACAACCCCACCCUGCCGGCCCCCGGGUACCCAGCCGGCUCCCCCAGCGUGGCAGCCGCCUGCAGCCAGGCCGAGUGCACGGGCGGGAGCCAGUCCAUCACCUCCCCGCUGCCCGCCAACACACCGUCGCCCUCCUUCAGCAAGCUGCCCCCCUCCAAGGCCAGCAGACCGCCCAAGGGGAGAGAGGGCACCGAGGCGGAGGCCCCGCCCCGCAAGCGCAAGCCUCCCCCCGCCCCUGCCGACGGCCCGACCGCCUUCAAACGGACCUGCCUCUUGGAACCCCCUGGCAAGGGGAAGCCUACGGGCUGCCGGGCACUGCCCCCCAAGACUAAGCCAGCACUGGGUGUGGGGCUCAAUGGAGCGGUGGGGCCCCGGGUGAAGCGGGUGGGCCCCCUGGACUGUCGGGGGCCCCCACACCCGCCACCUGCCCCCGGGAGGGCCUCGCAGCUGGAGAACCGGGGUGGCUCCGGGCCUCCCGCCAAGGCCCCGCAGCCCAACGGCCUCUCGGAGGAAGAGGAGGCUAAGAAGCAGAAGAACCUGGCCACCUACUGCCGGCCGGCGAAGCCCAAGCACUGCCCCGUGGGCCCCCCCGGCGACUCGAUCUGCUCCGUACGCAGGAAGAAGCCCGGCCCGGCCCUGGGCUUCGAGGAGAAAUGCACCACACUGAAGGCCUCUCUGGGCCACCUCUAGGACUCUGGUGCCUUGGGACUCCACACAUGCACAAUGGUAACCUCGCACAUGCUCAGUAAUCCGUCCGCUCGACGGAGUACAAUUCCCACAAGUUCGGCAUAUUGGAUGCUCUACUGAGCACGUGCAAGGAGAGGACCCAGAAGUCCCCACAUCCUGGAUGUCCAGUUGGGGCCAACCAAAAGAAAAACAGCUGUCUCAGGCCAGUCAAAAGCGCAUUAACGAGAAAGUGCCUGCCCGCUGCGACGGAGCCGUCAGCACCUCCCUCCCCCUCCUGGAUCCGGGCCCCGGGCUGCUGCCGCUUUUUAUAACUUUAUAUUAUUUUUUUUAAGAAAAAAAAAAACUAGAAAAAUACCUCAAGACUCUCCCUGUUCUGUUGCUGCUAAAAAAAAAAAGUUACAAAAAAAAGAGAAAAAAAGCCUGAAGAAAAUCAGUCCCCAUCCUUUUCCCCCACCCCGUCCCCAGGAGGCUGAGACUGCAGGGGCAGCCGGACCCGGACCCCAUUAUUUAUAAAGGUCCCUCUUGUUGGUUUUUGUUCUUUUUUUAAAAAAAAAACAAAAAACAAGAAACGGAAAUGAAACGG